rnacentral:tRNA from 1 species
GCUCCGAUAGUGUAGUCCGGCCAAUCAUCUCGGCCUCUCGAGCCGAGGACCCGGGUUCAAAUCCCGGUCGGAGCAC